CAACCCCAGAACAUUCCUGCGGGGGAAAGGUGUCCUAGGAUUACGUGGGGGGUGGCUCACGGGAAUUCCCCCUUACCUCGUUUUUUUGUAGGAAGGCUCAGGAAGGGGUUUGGAAGGGCUGCUUGUGCUCUUUCCGAGUCCAUUGCAUCCCACCUGGGGUGCUCUGCCAUGUGACCUUGGGUGAGCCACUCCCCUUCUCCCGCAGGGGCAGGUGGGGGGAACAGGGUUAGAAGGGCACAGGCCGUCUGUACUUCUUGUCUGCAGUUCCUAAAGUCUGCCCCCGACUGCUCCCACCUCAGAAAGACUCCUCUCCACUGCCAUUUCGGUGGCUGAAGGAGGAGGUGGCCCAGAGACAGUGAGGCCAGUGGGCCGGGCUGCGAUAGGACCCCCAGGACCUACAUCUGAAUGGUGGGGAGGACGGUGGAAGUGGAUGCACCUGGGGGACCGUCUCAGAGGGGCUGGCCCACUCCUACUGUGCCAGAUCUGGAGGUGUGCCCCUGUCUGAACUCCAUCCUGCCUGCUGCCCAGCAACUCCCUGGCUUCCUCCCUGUCACAUGGGACUCCCGCACCCGGUGCUGUCCAGGGACCCCCCACACUCCACACCCUCCGGACCUCGCAGGACAUUUCCAGGUCUGGCCACAAGGUGGAGCGUGGCAGCUGCAGGACAGUGCUGGGGGCCGGGCUGCAGAGGAGCCUGGACCUGCGCCCGGUGACCUCCCCGCUCUGUGAACGUGUGGGAGUUUGUGUCUGUGCAUCCAGAGAACCAGAGGGCUGUGGUUGACUUGCCGUGCUCCCCCCAACCCCCCACUGGGAUUGCCUGGGUCUCUGGGGGAUCACUGAGAAGCUGGAUAAAGAGGGCUGGCACUGUUGCCUCGGCUCACUAAUGCCUCAUGGUUUUACAGGUGAGGAGACUGAGGCCCAGAGAAGGAAGUCACGUGCUGAGGUCACUGACUAAUCAGUGGCUGAUCUGGUCGAACCCAGAUCUCUUGAGCUGUAAGGUCUCUGCUUUUCCUGUGGCAUGGAGAGGGGCUUCUCCCACCUAGGGAGGGGAGAUCCUGUUGUACUAGGGAGGCAGGGGAUUAAAGAUGGACUGAGAGGU
rnacentral:lncRNA from 1 species